AGAGAACGCGAUUUAGCGGGUGCGAAUCUAAGAGAAAAAAGAUUGUUAAAUCCAUAAGCAACAACACACGUAAUUAACGCUAAUUAAGCCGGUCAAUUGCUUUAAUUACGCGGUUAAUUUUGCAUUAAAUCUUGCGCAACUCCAAAGAUAUUUUUGUAUAAUACAACGUUAAUUAAUAGCGCGCCUUUCACCUCUCCGCCCCCGCCCAACCCCCCCGCUCGUUCGACUAGACUUCAUUAAUAGCCGUGAAGCUGGUGCUUGUGUGUAGGUGUGCGUGUGUAGGUGUGUGUUGUGCCUUGUGACUGGCAGAAUUUUCAUUAUCAGACGCUAAAAGGAUUACGAACCCGUUCAUCUUCAUCAGGAGCAGCAGCCCAGCCAAAUAUUUGCCAACAUCCGCAAACGAUUUGACGACUUCUCGACUUUGUCUUGUGCCAUUUGUGCGCUUGCGGAAAUUUGGAAUUUGUUUGCAGAGCAAAGCUUAAAUCUUAAAUUAUG